GCAUUAAUGGGGUAGUGGUAACCUGGGUCGUUGCCACCGAACGAUGAGUUCGACCCGCCGGGGGUUCGAUUCCCCCUUAAUGCA